GAUGAACGCUGGCGGCGUGCCUAAUACAUGCAAGUCGAACGAACAGACGCGGAGCUUGCUGCUCUGUCGUUAGCCGCGGACGGGUGAGUAACACGUGGAUCACCUCCCUAUAAGUCUGAGAUAACUUCGGAACACCGGAGCUAAUACCUUAUAAUAUAUUGAACCGCAUGGUUCAAUGGUGAGUGACGGUUGUGCUGUCACUUGUCGAUGGAUCCGGGCCGGAUUAUCUAGUUGGUAAGGUAACGGCGUACCAAGGCAACGAUGCGUAGCCGACGUGCCAGGGUGAUCGGCCACACUGGAACUGAGACAGGGACCAGGCGCCUACGGGAGGCAGCAGUAGGGAAUGUGCCGCAAUGGGCGAAAGCCUGACGGAGCAACGCCGCGUGAGUGAUGAAGGUCUUCGGAUCGUAAAACUCUGUUAUUAGGGAAGAACAGAUGUGUAAGUAGAUAUGCACGUAGUGACGGUACCGAAUCAAAAAGCACCGGCUAACUACGUG
rnacentral:rRNA from 1 species